rnacentral:rRNA from 1 species
AUUGAACGCUGGCGGCAGGCCUAACACCUGCAAGUCGAGCGAGCGGCGGACGGGUGAGUAAUGUAUGGGGACUGCCCGAAAGAGGGGGAUAACUACUGGAAACGGUAGCUAAUACCGCAUACUAUAGGAUAACCCAUAUGGGAUUAGCUCGUUGGUGCGGUAAUGGCUCACCAAGGAGACGAUCCCUAGCUGUUCUGAGAGGAUGAUCAGCCAAACUGGGACUGAGACACGGCCCAGACUCCUACGGAGUGAGCAGGGGGGAAUAUGGCAAAAUGGGCGCAAGCCGGAUGCAGCAAUGCAGCGUGUAUGAAGAAGGCCCUAGGGGUGUAAAGUACUUUCAGUCGGGAGACGUUACCGACAGAAGAAGCACCGGCUAACUCCGUGCCAGCAGCCGCGGUAAUUC